UACAGAGGGUGCAAGCGUUAAUCGGAAUUACUGGGCGUAAAGCGCACGUAGGUGGCUUGAUAAGUUUGAUGUGAAAUCCCCGAGCUUAACUUGGGAAUUGCAUUCAAGACUGUCUUGCUAGAGUGUGGAAGAGGGAAGCGGAAUUCCAGGUGUAGCGGUGAAAUGCGUAGAUAUCUGGAGGAACAUCAGUGGCGAAGGCGGCUUCCUGGUCCAACACUGACACUGAGGUGCGAAAGCGUGGGGAGCAAACAGG
rnacentral:rRNA from 1 species